rnacentral:rRNA from 1 species
UACGAAGGGGGCUAGCGUUGCUCGGAAUCACUGGGCGUAAAGGGUGCGUAGGCGGGUCUUAAGUCAGGGGUGAAAUCCUGGAGCUCAACUCCAGAACUGCCUUUGAUACUGAGGAUCUUGAGUUCGGGAGAGGUGAGUGGAACUGCGAGUGUAGAGGUGAAAUUCGUAGAUAUUCGCAAGAACACCAGUGGCGAAGGCGGCUCACUGGCCCGGUACUGACGCUGAGAUGCGAAAGCGUGGGGAGCAAACAGG